ensembl:lncRNA
GUGAGAGAGACAUUAUCUAUGAUACUGGACUGUAAGAAAAUCUGCCCUGCGCUCCAGAGGGGGCACUAUCUUUAUCUUCCAAGGCAGUUUGCUAUACCAACAUUCUUGAAAAGAUAAUCUGGAACAAAAGGGCAGUUAGUGCCUCUGCUCCUGUGCAGAAAUGCGACAGACCCACCCAGAAUUGUCUCCUAACAUAUUCCUGCCCACACAUCUUCGCCUGCAUUCCUCCAGGCUCUCCUCCUCCAGGCUCUCCUCCUCCAGUGAAAGCCAGCCUCUCUCCUGUGUCCUCCCACCUCUUCCGGCCUUGCUUUGGCUGCCAUUCCCCCCCCCCCCCCCCACCUGGGUCCUUAUCCCAGUUUAUGAAUAUGCCCCCAAAUAUCUCAUCCUAAAAAGCACAGCAAAACAAAGUCACACAAACGCAAACCUCUGUUGAGCUGGCACUCUUGUUUUUGGAGCUGUCAGUCGAUUCAGACUCCUAGCAACCCUGUGGACACCAGGGCUGGACCCUUUUCGGUCUUUUUGCGCCAUCCUCUCACCUUCCAGCACUCUGUCAGACGAUGCUCUGGUGCUGUUCAUAGGGUUUUCAUGACCAACUUUUCCAGAGGUGGGAAGCUCUGCUGAAACCUGUCCACCAUGGGUGACCCUGGUGGUAUUUGAGAUAGUGGUGGCAUAGCUUUCAGCAUCACAGCAACACACAGCUGCCACAGUAUGAUGACCCCCAGACAGGUGGUGUGGUUCCCUGACCUGGUGAGGAACCUGGGCCACAGCAGGCACUUUCUUAGCUACUCUCUUUUCUUUUCAUCCGAGUUCUUGGUAGGGGAAGUCUGUGCUGUCUCCAUUUCUCUCUUCGUCUGGUUUCUUCUCCUACUGCACCACUGAAACUGUCCCCACCGAGGCCACCAGGGGCCUUCAUCAUUCCCGGUGGAGCAGAUGCUUUCCAGCACUAAUUCUGCUGUGUCUGCCUCUGUAUUUGAAUUUGACAGUGUCCUCCUCAGGGCUGCUUUUAGGCUUUGUUAUAUCCGACAUACGGCCACUGGCACAGGGCAGUUCCUGCUGACUCCAUUUUCCAGUCUAAGAGUCGGGCUUUCCUGCUUCUUUGCUUGUCUCAUAAAUUUUUCUUGGAAACUGGACACUUUAGAUAAUGUAUUGUAGCAACUCUUGGUCCUGGUUCACGGCACCCCCCUCCUCUGCCCCCCACUGCCCCAGGCUUGUUAUUUGCUUGUAUGUUUGGUGACUGGCUGGCUUAUUUUGGUGAAGCCUUCCCUCCGCUCACUUGAAGUGUUAACCCCCUGGUGUUGCUCUGCAGGGAGCGUAGUUCAGGGUAUGCCCACAGACGCCCUGGGAUGGCAAUGAUUUGGGCUAGGCGCCCUUCAUCUCUUUCCCUGACCACAUCCAGCUAUUAAGCUCCAUUAAUUGCCAGCUGAUCGCUCUAUUGUUUACAGCAAGGCUCAGGGGCAUCAAUGGCUCUACAGGCUUAGGCUCCUUUGAAGGAGUAGCCCCUGUAGUAUUCUGACCUCAGGAGGGCUCCUCCCAGCUGACUCUUUCCCUGGUUCUCCCCUGCAAACUAGCCGGUUUACACUUUAGACUGCAUCUUCGCCGGCUCUACCAACCUCCUCCAAGUUCCCUUUCACAAACUCCAGUUUUUGAGAGCAGCCUUAGGCUUGAACUUCUCCACCCUCUGUUGCAGAUAGUCAGUUCCUUUGGAAAGAGUUUAGGACCUAUCUGUUUUACAGCCUGCUUCUGUCCCGGGCAAAAUCCCCCAGCCAGGGCUCUGGAGCUGGGCUGGGGACAAUGGUGUGCUUCUUUCAGAGUGAUAGCCCUGUUUAGGAGUUGAGCAUGUGGUGGAAGGGAGGAAUUAGCCUCAGGUCUUCUCAGCUUGCCUCUCCUGGUGUGAAACCAGCACUUUCUAACUCAGGUCAGGCAUGAUUGUGACAUCAUGCCGUGAGAGAGCCUCCACUGCGGAACAGGAGUCCCCACCUCUUGGCCAUACUUGCCCGGAACUCAGCCUCAGCCACAGGUAGCUGGGGCAGCAUGAGAAAUGCUGAUGUCCGGCUCCUCCCCGGAAGAAAGCCCCUCACGGGGAGCUGAGGGGAGAGUGAGCCCUGUGCUCUUGGCUGCAGUCUGGAGUGGACUUUUUUCUCGCAUAAACCCACAAGGUUGAGGAGGAGAGGAGUAGAGAUCACAGCAACGCAAUUCUGGAAAUGGAAAGCAGAAGGAUAAGAGUCAACAGGAUGUGUGAGGACUGCCACGACAGCAGAGUGAACACGCCAGCAUCCUCUCCUAAGUAAACUUCAGACUUCCAUUACUAACACCAACAUCCGUCCUGCUGCUUAAUCCUCUUAAUCCCUCUAACGCACUCACGACCCGGGGACAACUUUUGCAUGCUGUUACCUGCUCUCAUUUUCAUACACUUCAAAAAACCCCAAAUGAUGCCUGAUUACCAAAAGAGCAAGAACAAAAUCUGCUGACCGAGAAGCAGCUGGGAGAACAGCGGUGGACAAAGCAGAAAACCGCGAGCAGUGUUAGCCGCACUUCAACAUUUUCAAUCCUCUCCAUCUGCCGACUUAGAAACAUGAGCCCCAGGAAUGUGAAAAAUGAGGAACAAUGUUAAUUAAAGGCAGAUGGAUUAGCAAUAGUGGGGACCUGAUCAGUGACUCCUGAAAGGAGGGAGGAAAAGAGAGAGACCGGGAUUAAUGAAAGACAAAUGAUGCUGCAACCUUGAACGGAGGAUCAUGGCUCCACCCGUUGGUCAAGUCCUCUAUUCCUGGCCCCUGCUUUGAAUCCUUACAAGUUCACUCCUGGUGGGAAGAGCCUUAGGGUUUGGAAGCUUGAACUUGCCCUUGGAGUUCUUGGUCCAAGCUGGAAUGGGUCAAGGAAAAGGGUGGGAGCUAUUUAGUAUGACAACUUCUCUCACUGAACUGUGUGUUCCUGUCAAAAUUUCAUUUCAAAUUUAUGAGAGAACUAGGCUUCCAAGAAAACGAGUUCAAAAUGUAUAUCUGGUCGAGAGUGUUUACAGCAAGAAAGAAUGACUCGAUACUGUUGUGAAGCCAGGUAUAAGGAAGGAAUGUCUGGUGAAAUGCAUUAGGCUUACUCCCUGGUGGGUUAAGACCACCUAGAAAGGCUUCUCUUAGACUGGCUUCCCAGAAGCGGAGCCUGACGCAGGGAUCUGGAGGCAUGUGGCCACUGGAGGGCUCUUCAGAAAAUACAUGUAAGGCAGAGAGGACAGGGACAACCAAGAUGAGAUCUCAGGUGAAGUCUAGCCUUGGGGAUUCAAGUGGAGAUCACACCACAGAAUGGUCCUGACCUAAGGCAAGAGGGUGGGCUCUCGCACCCCUUUGGUGAGGCAUCGGCUUCCAGGCGUGGGGGCGGGGUGGAGUGCCCCAAGAUUGUCAGGGCGAGGGGCUCCCAUCAGCCAAGGGCAGUCCCCCAGAGAGGGGCACAGGUGUCAGCCAAUAGCUUGGGGACCGUUGCAUUGGCCCAUGACAGGGAUUUGGGUGGGUCCCCCUGCAAUAGUCUGUUACUCCUGGCGAGCCAGACUCUGCCUCUGAUAGCCUAUCAGGAGACUGCACAACUCUAGCGCCAGAAAUGCCAGCUGAGCGACUUCACCUUUCUUCAGGCGAGAGACAGCUAUCUUUCUGAGAAGCGUGUGUCUUAUCCCUUCUCCUGCUGCGUGCUUCUUGGACAGUGUCCCGGGAGGGGCUCGAAUUGUCCCCCAGUUACACCAUUUGCUCUUCUCUGGCGAUGAUUUUUGGUGGAGUCUAGCAGCCUUCUCCACUGCAAAGCACUAGUUUGCCCUUUAACCGAUCUUCCUCGACUUAAAUGGAGUUACGUCCCAAUGAAGCCAUCGUAACUUGAAAAUAUCGUAAGCUGAAAUGCAUUUAACAUGUGCAAACCACCGAGCGCCACAGCUUAGCCCAGCCUGCCUUAAAUGUGCUCAGAACCCUUACGUUAGUCUGCAGUUGGGCAAAGUCACCUAACACAAAGUCUAUUUUAUGAUCGUGUGCUGAACGUCUCAUGUAAUUCACUGAUUACUGGACUGAAAGUGAGAAACAGAAUGGUCGUGUGGGUGCAGAAUGGUUGUCAGUGUAUGGGUUGUUUACCCUCGUGAUCGCGUGGCUGACGGGGAGCUGCGGGUGCUGCUGCCGCCCAGCAUCACGAGAGAGGAUCCGACGGCAGAUCGCUAGCCCUGGAAAAGAUCGAAACGCAAAAAGCGAAGCACGAUUUCUACUGAAUGCCACUUCUAAUGAAGUGGGACCACUGGAAGUCGGGGACCAGCUGUAUGACGUUCGUCAAACAGCGAUUUUCUAACUUCGUUCCAUUUACAAUUAUUUGGUAGUAUUCCACUAUGAGAAAAAGCAUUUCUUCCUCCCCACAGUACGGACUCAUGGAUUCCCGUUACAGUCGAUGUGAUGAAAUUCGUUACUAUCAUUAUUUAUUUUCAUUCUCAAAUCGUCCUGUAUUUAGCCAGCGGGAGCUCCUUCGAGAAGGCUGGCUUCUAUGUUCUUCUGAUGUGUCUCCCGUUUCUUAAGUGCUUCCUUACUUCCUGGGUUAAUAAAAUAUUCCAGGUGCAUCUUGUCCCUUCCUUACCCUAGCCCUGGAAUCAGCCGUUUCUCCAAAAAGCCCUGGUUCCUUAUAGAGGAAAAUGGUAUUUAGGAACCGUGUAGUACCAAGAUCUGGGCACCAUAUGUGGUCAUUGUUACUGGAGUUUCAUUACUUCUAGGCCCUAAUAGUUGACAGAGCUAAUAAAUAUAUGUAUGUGUGCACAUACACACAUACACACACACCCUUACAGGUAACUCUGUCUCUGUCUCUCUGUCUACCUAAAUUUCAGGUUCAUACUGAUGCCUCCAGUCCCAGUCCAACACCAGAAGGCUCCUUGUUCAUUCCAGUCUUGCGUCUUUCCAUAUUUGCAACUUUCUUUUCUGAUGAGAAAAUUGGUUCCCAUUAUCCUUAAUAUAUUUGCUUACUUGCUUAAUCCUAUAAUGCACUGAAAGUGGUUUCAGAACUACUAAGCCACAGCACACAUGAAACCAACCUACCGAUUAGACCCAGUGUUUGUUUGCAAUUCUUUCUGUCUUUAUUCUGAAGAUGUUAUAGUUGAAAGGUAGCUUUGCCCCUUCUGUGUGGUUAUGAAUAACAUUUUAAUAUGGGUAGGUUCAUUUGUUUCUCUUUGUAUUCCAUUUUAGCGUUUUUCCCCCAUCUUUAUUGAUUUUAUUUUUUUUUAGUAUAUCAGGAACAAAGGCAAAAUUAUGCAAAAAGGGUAUUCACAGAAGCGUCACUCCCUCCCACCAUCCUUUCCUACCCUCUCAUCCCCUCCGCCCUGUUUCUCUUCACCCCCCUUAGGUAACCAAUCUCUCUACUUUUGGGUAUCUUUUCCUCAUAUUUCUUUUUGCAAAAAUAAGCGGAUACAUGUAUAUUUUCUUAUUUCUUCUUCUUUCCUACAUAAAAGGUAUAAAUACUAUAAAAACUCUUUUGUGUCUACUUUUUUAAACUUUCAACUAUGUCAAUUCAUGUGGAUCCUCCCUAUUCUAUUUCAGCCGCGCAAUACUCCACUGUGAGCUGCACCAUUCCUUAUAUUUACAUCCCUCAAGUUUCCUAUAUUCUGCAAUUUCAAACAGAACUGUCCUGAAUAACCUUGAGCACAUUUACUUUUGUGUUGUUGGAGAUGCACCUUCAGGGUCAAUUCCU